UACGUAGGGAGCAAGCGUUGUCCGGAAUCAUUGGGCGUAAAGCGCGCGUAGGUGGCCUCAUAAGUCCGCUGUGAAAGUCAAAGGCUCAACCUUUGAAAGCCGGUGGAUACUGUGAGGCUAGAGUACGGAAGAGGCGAGUGGAAUUCCUGGUGUAGCGGUGGAAUGCGUAGAUAUCAAGAGGAACACCUGCGGCGAAGGCGGGUUGCUGGGCCGACACUGACGCUGAGGCGCGAAAGCUAGGGGAGCGAACGGG
rnacentral:rRNA from 1 species